AUGCCAUGGAAUAUUUGCAUUAUUAGCUGUGCAAACAUGAUGCACUAGAUAAACCCAGAGAUUUCAAACAGGAACCCAUAGUGUUAAAACAUUCUGACCUGCUGUGGUCUUU